rnacentral:rRNA from 1 species
AUGGCGGAGGAGACCGAGACCGAGAAGCCGCUCUUCUCUCCGACAGAUGUCUCGCUCCACGCAUCCACGAAGGACUGCUGGGUCGUCAUCCAUGGCAAGGUGUACGAUGUGACCAAGUUCUUGGAGGACCACCCCGGCGGAGAGGAUGUCCUGCUCCAUGCAUCUGCCUCUGGGGAUGCCACGGAGGCUUUUGAAGAUGUGGGACACAGCACAUCAGCCAUCAGCAUGAUGAGCAGCUACCUGAUCGGAAGCAUCGAGGACUAUGUGCCUCCCAGUGCAACGAAGGACGCCACAGCUAUUGGCAGUGAUGUGCUGCCAGAUUCCAGAACAAUGCAGAGGAACAAAGGCUCUCCCGCUCCAAACACAUUUCUGGACUUCGUGCUCCCUUUAUGUAUGCUUGGCAUGGCCUUUGCAGCUUGGUACUACCUAACAUUCGUGGCCGAGAGCUAG